UCCAAGAAGACUUGAUCUUGCAGCUUCAAUCAUUCUAUAAAUUGCAUGGCAAACAGGAGAAGGGAAAGCAUGCAAGCUUAGAUAAUGGUAUUCCCGGUAGGGAAUCUUACUUGUUGAGGGAGCUAAUCUACACAAUUGGCAGAGGCAAACAAUACCCUUUCAAGAAAGGGAAACCAUGGAUAUUUGAUGGAAGCAUUUCUCCCGACCCCUCUUUCGUUUCGUGCAACUGACCGUCUAUGGCUGACGUCAAUGUCUUUUAAUAAUUCAGAAUAAGAGAGUAACAACAAUUCCUGGGAGAAUUAGGACACUGAAGAUGGAGUUACCGUGGACAGAGCAGAAGUUAUGGGAUAAAUGUGUGACCUAGACCUUCCUUCAUUGCUGGACUGAUAAUAGAUUCAACUCCCACACAGAAAUUGUUACGUGCCUCCUGGAUAUUAAUACCAUU